rnacentral:rRNA from 1 species
CCUACGGGCGGCAGCAGUCGAGAAUCAUUCACAAUGGGGGAAACCCUGGUGGUGCGACGCCGCGUGGGGGAAUGAAGGUCUUCGGAUUGUAAACCCCUGUCAUGUGGGAGCAAAUUAAAAAGAUAGUACCACAAGAGGAAGAGACGGCUAACUCUGUGCCAGCAGCCGCGGUAAUACAGAGGUCUCAAGCGUUGUUCGGAAUCACUGGGCGUAAAGCGUGCGUAGGCUGUUUCGUAAGUCGUGUGUGAAAGGCGCGGGCUCAACCCGCGGACGGCACAUGAUACUGCGAGACUAGAGUAAUGGAGGGGGAACCGGAAUUCUCGGUGUAGCAGUGAAAUGCGUAGAUAUCGAGAGGAACACUCGUGGCGAAGGCGGGUUCCUGGACAUUAACUGACGCUGAGGCACGAAGGCCAGGGGAGCGAAAGGGAUUAGAUACCCUUGUAGUC